rnacentral:lncRNA from 1 species
UGAGCCCUGAAGCAUGGCAUUGAGAAGCUGCCUAAGAAGGAGGCAGAUCCAUCAGCCUGGGUGCCCGACUGAUUACCCUGAGCAGAGCUCCCCAGCCCACCUGUGAUGGACGCAUGGAGCUUGAGCAAGGAAUAAAUAUUCGUUGCUGGACUCUGAUUACACUGGACCUAUCCAAGAUCUGAGAUCAUCAACUCAUCUCAAAAUCCUUAAGCUGACCACAGCAGCAUCGUCCCUUUUGCAGUGUAAGAGAAGGAACACAGGCUCAGACAUCAGUGCCAUAUCUGAAGACAUUCAGCUAAUAACAGGAUGGAGUCCAAUCUGAAACAACUGUCACGCUGAGCCUAAUUGCUGAAGAUGGUUGAAGGCACCAGGAGGCUGGAGUUUCCUGGAGGUGGUUUGUGGCCAACCGUCAAUUACUUGGGCUGCUGUGCAGUGGGGAUAGAAGGAUGAUUAGAAUCCACAGACAACCCAUUGGCCUUUGUUUACCAUUAACUUCUGUUUUCUCCACCAGCCAAGCUCCUCCAGACCCAGGAGAUGGCUCUUCCCUCUGUGUAGCACACUCUUUCCAGUCAAGGGGUCUUGCACUGCUAUUUCCCCUUCUGCUUUGCUUGGUUCAUUCUUACUGACCCUCCAAAUACUGAAGGAAUGAAUGGAGAAAUAAGUAAAUGAGAGAUGUGGCCAAGAGUCUCCAAGAGAGGAAAUUAAAAAAUCCUAUACCUGUGAGGAACUGGCCCACUUGCAAAA